UUUAAUUUUUUUUUACUGCACAUGGUGCAGGAAAACACCUAGUAUACAUAUAUGUACACUGGUAGAUUCUCUAAAUAUGUUCGAUGCGUAUAUUGGUUGGCGCGAUCAUUUCAUAUAUAUGCUUCUACACUGGUAUAUAUUUUUCAGUGCAUCAAAUUCGGUGGUGGUAGUAUAGUGGCGUUUGAAGGAAUUAAAAAACUCAGUACGGUAAAUUCGGGUUCAAACCCCACCGACCACGCGGAUAUGGACUAUUGUUUUCGGCCCAUUUAAAUAUCCAGGAGAAGAUCUAUCUGUGGGCUUUACCUCCACCCGAAGGUUAGGUCUGUGUCUUUAAUAGAUCCGGAUUUAACCAUUUUCGUUUAAAAAAAAAUGCACCGUGGAUAAGAUAGGUACGUAUACAUGGAUUACAAUAACUGCACCAUGGCAUGAAUAAGAUAAUAAUGCAUCUAUAACUAAGGGGGUGUAUUGAAUUGUGGAUUUUAAAGUGUUUUGGUUUUGUUUUAAAAUCUUCUGUUAUUCAAUUAAUGAUUUCUAAUUUUUUUCCAAAUCUUGUAUUAUUGAAUAUGGCAUUUAUCUAAAGUCACCUCAAAUCAAUUGCAAUCCACUGUUAUUCAAUUAACAGUUUAUAAAAACUAAAUCAAAUCAACUGUUAUUGAAACACAAACAAUUCUGAAAAGAAAAACUAAUAAAAGGAUUUGAAGCAAAUAUUUUCUAUGAUUUUUAGUCAAAACUAGCGUAAUACAAAUCACACCUCUAUACCUGUUAUUUGACAAAACCCAAAACAAUAUAAAAAAAUUGGCCAAAGAAAUCGAUGAUCUAUAUCUCAAACGCUACGACCACCACAAUCUCUCCCAAACAAGUGUUUACAUCCGAAAGUUUUGCUCUGUGUACCUCUCUGUUGACCUGAAUCUCGACGACGUCUCCACACUUUUUUCUCAAGGACACGACAGUGACGAUGAAGCUUCCGCCGCAUUCGUCGUUCCUUAUAAUGAUUCUCAAGCACGUUGUUUCAACUCUCAAAACCUUUAGGAAGUAUUAUAUGUCCAAAGUUUCUUUCACUUGCUGUGCUGUUUGAGAAGUAGUCAAUGUUUCAAGGUGUUUGCGGCUUCAUUCCUAUGUGUUUUGGGCGCUUUUGUCUCUACUCUUGAAGUCUCCAGUGGUAAUUCUAUCGCUUUGGAGCAACCCCCUACUGCAAUAUGCAGUUCUUCAUUGGUUUAUGUUGUAAAAGUGAAUGCAAGGCUGUUAUUUUCUCUCCAUUUGCUGCAGCUGGGAAAUAAAUAUGAUAGUAGUUGCGUCUCUUCAUUGAACCGAAGUAGUUUGGGUUUUGAUA